AUUGAACGCUGGCGGCAGGCCUAACACAUGCACGUCGAACGAGUGGCGGACGGGUGAGUAAUGUCUGGGCAACUGCCUGAUGGAGGGGGAUAACUACUGGAAACGGUGGCUAAUACCGCAUACCAUCGGAUGUGCCCAGAUGGGAUUAGCUAGUAGGUGGGGUAACGGCUCACCUAGGCGACGAUCCCUAGCUGGUCUGAGAGGAUGACCAGCCACACUGGAACUGAGACACGGUACAGAAUCCUACGGGAGGCAGCAGGGGGGAAUAUUGCACAAGGGGCGCAAGCCUGAUGCAGCCAUGCCGAGUGUAGGAAGAAGGCCUUCGGGUUGUAAAGUACUUUCAGCGGGGAGGCGUUACCCGCAGAAGAAGCACCGGCUAACUCCGUGCCAGCAGCCGCGGUAAUAC
rnacentral:rRNA from 1 species